GGGUCGAUGGCGUAGUUGGUUAUCGCAUCUGUCUCACAUCAUCAAGUGCGCACAGGAGGUCCUCAGUUCGAGCCUGGGUCGACUCA